UAACCUGCCUCAUACAGGGGGAUAGCAGCUGGAAACGGCUGAUAAAACCGCAUAAGCGCACAGCAUCGCAUGAUGCAGUGUGAAAAACUCCGGUGGUAUGAGAUGGACCCGCGUCUGAUUAGCUGGUUGGUGAGGUAACGGCCCACCAAGGCGACGAUCAGUAGCCGGCCUGAGAGGGUGACCGGCCACAUUGGGACUGAGACACGGCCCAA
rnacentral:rRNA from 1 species